rnacentral:rRNA from 1 species
UUUGCUUAAAAUAAAAGGUCCAGCCUGCCCAGUGACACUGUUCAACGGCCGCGGUAUCCUAACCGUGCGAAGGUAGCGUAAUCACUUGUUCUUUAAAUGAGGACUAGUAUGAAAGGCACCACGAGAGUCAUACUGUCUCCUUUUUCCAAUCAGUUAAACUAAUCUCCCCGUGAAGAAGCGAGGAUAACUAUAUAAGACGAGAAGACCCUAUGGAGCUUUAAACGAAUAACACUUGCCCACUUACUCCUUAAAAUUUCAGAAAAAUCUAUUACCUUGGCAUCAUACUUAUAAGUUUUUGAUUGGGGUGAUCACGGAACAAAAAAUAACCUCCGCAAUGAAAGACUCUCCAUAACUAAGUCAAGAACCACAACUCUACACAUCAACAAAUUGACACCAAUUGACCCAAUUUAUUGAUCAAUGAAC